rnacentral:rRNA from 1 species
CUAAAAACCUAGCCCAACAAACAUGAAUUUUACUAAAUUAACUAAACCCCUUUAACAAACCAUUUUAACAUUCUAGUAAAGGAGAUUGAAAAACUUAUUUGGAGCUAUAAAAACAGUACCGCAAGGGAACGGUGAAAUAUUAUGAAAAACUUCAAGCAGCAAAAAGUAAAGAUUACCUCUUGUACCUUUCGCAUCAUGGUUUAACUAGUUUAACCAAGCAAAACGUAUUUAAGUUUGACUUCCCGAAACUAAGUGAGCUACUUCAGGGCAGCUAGAAGAGCAAACCCGUCUCUGUAGCAAAAGAGUGGGACGACCCUCAAGUAGUGGUGACAGACCUAACGAACUUAGUGAUAGCUGGUUGCUCAAGAAACGGAUUUAAGUCCAACCUGAAAGUUUUAUAACCUAAGUUCAUCAAAACAAUCACCUAGCUUUCAGCGUAAUUCAAAUAAGGUACAGCCUAUUUGAAACAGGAUACAACCUAGCCUAGUGGAUAAGAUCAGCCUAACAUACAAUCAAGUGGGCCUAAAAGCAGCCACCUUUAAUACAGCGUCAAAGCUAAAUUGUAACCGAGCCCAAUUACUUAACCCAUAUCUUAAUCCCCUGCCAAUACUGAGUAAUUCUAUAAUAUUAUAGAAAUUUUUAUGUUAAAACUAGUAACAAGAAGAAGAUUCUUCUCUUGAAUGUACAUAUAAAUCAGAAAAGACAAGCUACUGAUACUUAACACCUCUGAGCAUAAAGUAGUAACUAACCAAGAAAACUCUACUUUUACUGGUGUUAAUCUAACACAAGAACAUUCUAAGAAAGA